rnacentral:misc_RNA from 1 species
AAAAAUUUUCCAUAUCAUAUGACAAGAUUGUUAACAUGUUGGCAUUAAUAUAUAUUUAUUAACAACAUAAAUAAAUCCAUUUCACUUCUCAUUAUUAAAAAUUGAAGCAGGAAUAUUUGUUAACGUAUUAGCCAAGAUGAUGGCUACAAGAUAGUGCGAAUCCUAAAAAAUUGUGAUGGGUCAACAUACAGAGAUAGGGAUAUUUCAAAGGUUUUGAAUUUGGAAAUCUUUUCUUUAGAUACUGGUAAAUGGAGGAAUGUGAAGGUGUCAUUUUCUGUACGUACUGGUCUGCAUAUAUCUUUUCAGAGAGCUGUGCUCUAUAAUGGGAUUAUGCAUUGGGUUCAUGCAACUAGUGACCAGAUCAUAGCAUAUGAUCCCAGCAAGAUUAUUAAUAUUUCAGAUGAAUUUCGUUUGAUUCAUUUACCACCGUGUAAAGGGUAUAUUGUUCGAGAUAGAGUGCUUGGAACAUGUGGUGAUCUCCUAAGGCGUCUCAUGGUUGAAGGAGAGUAUUAUGUGAAACAAUAUUUGAGCGUUUACACGCUCAGGGACUAUGAUGCUGGAGUAUAUGGUCUAUGAAUUUCAAGAUUCUCUUGUGUGAUAUUCUCCCGGCUGCAAAACGUCUCCUUUUAAUGCCACUGGCUUUCCAUCCCACUGAUAUGGAUAAAGUGUUUAUAAGGUGUGGUCAGAAAAUGGGAGUCUAUAACCUUCAAACAAGAACAUUAACAAUUGUCGGUGUUGCUGAAUUCAUUGGUACUGCACUUAUUACUAAUGCAAGGGCCUUUCCAUUUGUGCUUCCAUCUAAGCCCACGCCUAUUUCAAGACCAACUUGGGAGUAAUUAUUUAUGGUGUAACACAGCUAGUGCUUUCUUUUACCAUAUGGUUAGGAAUUUUAUUCAAUAGGUUGCUUUUCUUAGUGACAAUAUAACAAAAUAAGGUGACAAUUAUAAUGCUUCAAGAUGAUCUCAG